UACGGAGGGGGCAAGCGUCGUUCGGAAUUACUGGGCGUAAAGGGCGCGCAGGCGGCUGCUCAAGUCAGGCGUGAAAGGCCUGGGCUCAACCCGGGAAUUGCGCUUGAGACUGGGCUGGCUUGAGUGCGGGAGAGGAUGGUGGAAUUCCCAGUGUAGAGGUGAAAUUCGUAGAUAUUGGGAAGAACACCAGUGGCGAAGGCGGCUCACUGGACCGGUAUUGACGCUGAGGUGCGAAAGCGUGGGGAGCAAACAGG
rnacentral:rRNA from 1 species